UGCGGGAGAGUAGGUUAUUGCCAGGGUUUUUAUUUUAUACUUUAAACCUUAAAUUUAUCUCCAAAUGUUUAUAUUAUUUGAAUAAAACAUUCAAAUAAUAUAAAAAAUAAUAUAUAUAUUGACAUGGAUUAAACAAAGAUAUAUAUUAUUCUAUGUUGUAUAAACAAAUUGGCAAAAUAGAGAUGGAAGAUAAAAAUAUGGUCAAAGUAAUAAGAGUCUAUGGUGAAUGCCUAGA
rnacentral:misc_RNA from 1 species